rnacentral:tRNA from 1 species
AACAUUUCAACAUAUUUAGAGGUUUUAUUUUCCCCAAAUAUGUGACCAUGUAUUUAUGAAAGGAUUGUGUUAUUAAAAGGUAGUACAGAGCUAGGGCUGUAGCUUAAUAAUAGAGCACUUGUGGAACACGGCAAAGCUGGGGGGUCCAGUGGACAUCACCACACACAAGCACACAAACACCCAAGGUACCAGUUAUUUGCUGGUCUGUUUCGUGUUGCACCAAGUAUCCUAUCCUAGAUACCAUACAGGUCAGUCACUUCAGAUGACCUGGUGAUGCAGUCAGUAGAGAAGAAAACAUAUAUAUGAGGGUGCUGCUGGCAUAAGGGGGUAUAAAGUCUUUAGUAAAUAGGAGUACACACAAUAGCAUAGUAUACCUGGGCAUGGUGGCACAUGCCUGUAGUCCUAGCUAUUCCAGAGGCUAAGAAUAACAAGUUUAAGGCCAGCCUGGGCAAUAAAUGAGCACGACUCUGUCUUAAAAUAAAAAGUUAAAGAAGUUAGGGGUGCAGCUCAGUAGUAGAAUGCUUACCUAGCAUGUGGGAGGCCCUGGGUUAAAUCCCCAGUACCAUUUAAAAAAAAAAGCAUAGUAAAUACAUUCAACUAGUAACAUAGUUGUAUACUGUCAUUCUUAAAUAAUGACUGACAGUGUCAUAGGUUUGCACAGCAUCUCCACAAACACAUGUAUUGCACUAUGACAUUAAUAUGACACUAGACAUAGAUAUUUUUCAGCUCCAUUGUAAUCGUUUGGUGUCACCUUCAAAUAUGUGGCCCAUCAUUGCUAUUUUCCCAUGCUUUCUUUAAGUUGUCUAUUAUUAUUAUUACUUGUUGUUGUUUGUUUUGGUGGUACCAAGGAUCAAACCCAAGUCCUCAUGCAUGGUAGUGAAGUGCUCUACCCCUGGGCAACUUCCAAGGCCGGCCAGCCUGCCUGCCUUCCUUCCUUCCUUCCUUCCUUCCUUCCUUCCUUCCUUCCUUCCUUCCUUUUCUCCCAGGGCUAUUUAACCACUGAGCCACAUCCCUAGCCCUUUUCUGAUAUUUUAUUUAGAAACAGCAUCUCUCUUGAGUUGCUUAGUUCCUCACGAACCUGCUGAGGCUGGCUUUGAAUUUCAAUCCUCCUGCCUGAGCCUCCUUAGCUGCUGGGAUUACAGACAUGCACCACUGCACCUGUCUAGACUUGAACUUUUGAUCCUCCUGCCUCAUUCUCCUGUGUAGCUGUGAUUGUAGCCAUGUACAAUCAUGCCCCAUCAUACCA